rnacentral:snRNA from 1 species
GUGCUCGCUGCGGCAGCACAUUAUGCAAAUGGGAAUGAUACAGAGAAGAUCAGCAUGGCCCCCGUGCAUGGAUAACACAAAUUCGUGAGUUUUCUAUGUAUAUU